rnacentral:tRNA from 1 species
GCGCCUGUAGCUCAGUGGACAGAGCGACGGACUCCGGAUCCGUAGGUCGCAGGUUAGACUCCUGUCAGGCGCGCCA